AUGGCGACAGCAACCACAAGUCGGCCCAGCGGCCCGGUGCUGUCCAUACCCAGCUACCGCUCCGCCUCGCCCACCCGCGUCAAGCUCGCCAGCGGCAGCGGCGCCACCCGCUCCCCGGGUAGGUCCGUCAGCGUCUCGUCCCCGUCUUCCUCCACCGGCGUUGCCGCCGCCAGGAGCCGGCGGUCGUGCAUGUGCUCCUCGACGAACCACCCGGGAUCGUUCCGGUGCAGCCUCCACAAGGAGCGCAAGCAUGCGGCCCCCGCCGGUAGCAGCAAGCCGGCUUCCCCUCCGUCCAUCCGCAGCGCCUGCAGUCUGGGCUCGAAGCGCAUGGACAGCGGGCAGUGUGCACGCAGGGCCCUCGCGCCGUCCCCCGCGGCGCAGCAGUCGCAGCACCGGAGGCGCGCGGGAGGCUUCCGCCCCAGGCCGAGCCGGCUCUCCGCCGUCUCCACGGCCGGCGAGCGCCCCAGCGACAACUACCAGUAA
rnacentral:rRNA from 1 species